AACGAACGCUGGCGGCAUGCCUAACACAUGCAAGUCGAACGAGACCUUCGGGUCUAGUGGCGCACGGGUGCGUCACGCGUGGGAACCUGCCCUUAGGUUCGGAAUAACUCCCCGAAAGGGGUGCUAAUACCGGAUAAUGUCUUCGGACCAAAGAUUUAUCGCCUUUGGAUGGGCCCGCGUUGGAUUAGCUAGUUGGUAGGGUAAAAGCCUACCAAGGCGACGAUCCAUAGCUGGUCUGAGAGAAUGAUCAGCCACACUGGGACUGAGACACGGCCCAGACUCCUACGGGAGGCAGCAGUGGGUAAUAUUGGACAAUGGGCGAAAGCCUGAUCCAGCAAGGCCGCGUGAGUGAUGAAGUCCUUAGGGUUGUAAAGCUCUUUUACCCGUGAUGAUAAUGACAGUACCGGGAGAAUAAGCUCCGGCUAACUCCGUG
rnacentral:rRNA from 1 species